rnacentral:lncRNA from 1 species
CUUGGCCCUUGGAAACCUGCGGGUUGGCAGUGCUCUACCAGGAGGGGGCCAACUCGACAAAACCAGAGAGGGUGAAACGUCCUGCACCAGAGAGUUUCAGACAUCAGCGAUGGACUGGUUGAUUGGUAGUGUUUUUGCUGAGACUGAUGGUGGACUCCCCAUCUGAGAUCCCAGAUUCCUUCAGGUCAAAGGUCAGCAGCUACACUGGAGCUUUCCUGACCCCCAUGUCCAGACCUGUUUACAGAUGAGGACACAGAAGCCCCAUGAGGGGAAGGGAUUUGCCUCACGCCACAGUGAACAAGGGGAGGAGGCAGGAUCGGAACUCAGGGAGCCUGGCCGCGAGUCCUGCACUGCUCACAACAGGCUCCAGCUGCCCUGGUAUGAAGACAAGGGCUGUAAGGAUGAAGGCACACAAAAUGCCAAGUGAGAGCUCUGGCUACAGUCCCUCUCACCAUCUCCCAAGGCAAACCCUGCGGCUGUGGCCUUGGCUUUGCCAGAAACUGAUUCCAUGCUGCUCCCCCAGGGGACCUCGAAACUGCAGGUGUGCCAGGACAUUCCUGGCUGACAAGUGCGGGGUCGCAGGAGGGCUGGACGGCAUGCCUCUGUGUCCAUCAGCUCCUUGUGUGCGUGCGCUCAUGUACGGGGUUUAAUGAAUGAAAUGAUUAAAACCUGG